rnacentral:rRNA from 1 species
CCAAUAGCGUAUAUUAAAGUUGCUGCAGUUAAAAAGCUCGUAGUUGAAUUUCGGGAUCAAUAUGUUGGUCGUGCCUUGGUACGUACUAGCUUAUUGAUUUCUUCCUUCUGACGAACCAUGAUGUCAUUAAUUUGGUGUCUUGGGAAAUCAGGACUGUUACUUUGAAAAAAUUAGAGUGUUUAAAGCAGGCUCACGCUUGAAUACAUUAGCAUGGAAUAAUGAAAUAGGACGUUUGAUUCUAUUUUGUUGGUUUCUAGGAUCGACGUAAUGAUUAAUAGGGAUAGUUGGGGGCAUUAGUAUUCAAUUGUCAGAGGUGAAAUUCUUGGAUUUAUUGAAGACUAACUACUGCGAAAGCAUUUGCCAAGGAUGUUUUCAUUAAUCAAGAACGAAAGUUAGGGGAUCGAAGACGAUCAGAUACCGUCGUAGUCUUAACCAUAAACUAUGCCGACUAGGGAUCGGAUGAUGUUAAUUUUUUAAUGACUCAUUCGGCGCCUUACG